rnacentral:lncRNA from 1 species
CUAACUUCCCAUAUUACAUAUCUAUUAUAAACCAAAUGAAGAUUCCAACGAGAACUACAGCAAACAACAUCAAUUUAUCAGUCCCCUUUGUUUUGUCAAUCACCUCUAGCUUGAUUACUUUCUUUUGCAGGGCCGGUUCUCAUUCUCCAAUUGCAUAGUCUUCUUGGACAGGAUCAUAUUAUCCUUGUACAAAUAUAUAUUCUCCUUUUGCAACUCAUUGAUUUUAUGCUUAUACCUGUUAACUAUUCAACACCCAUCCAUAAAAAAUGCUUACAAUCUUUUGAAGGAUCCUACAAAAAAAUUGAAGUUUAUGUGUAAACAUUAUUGAAAAAACAUCAAUUUUAAAUGAUAUUAACAUACCAGAAAACUAGGGCACCGAAUGAAAUGUCGGCCUGGGUUCGUCUUGUUCGUUGAAGUCCAUAUCUUUGGUUAUUCACUACAUUUACACUUUUUAAAGCCAUGUCAGCUAUGUUACCGGUUGCUUAGGGUAACCAGUUACAAAGCAUGAAAACAACAAAGGUUAGAAAAAAUAAUGGUUAAUUUGUAAAAAAAAAAAAAAAAAGUAAAUAAGGGUUUUUUUUAAUCAUUGGAGUAUAAUACAUAGGGUUUUUAUGAGUUUUUCCCUACCAAAAUUGAUUCUAAUAAGUAAACUAGAUGUAUUAAAGGAUCGCUUCAUUUUGAAAAUAUAUCAUCAAUAGGAUUUUUUUUCAUUGAAUUUAUUUUUUGUAUUUAUUCUGUUUUUUUUUACUUUAUUAAAAUUUAUAUUAUACCGUACAAAAGUAGAAUUUUAUAAAAUAUUUAUAAAUACAAAACGUCAAUCAAACAGAUACUCAAAACACAUAUCUUUAUAAAUCAAUAAAUAUUAUAUUUUCAUUGAUCGAUGGUUAUAACCUAUAAAAUAUUUACCUUGUUUUUCGGGCUCUGCUUCAUUUGCCGAAUAAAAUUCUAACCU